UACGUAGGGUGCGAGCGUUAAUCGGAAUUACUGGGCGUAAAGCGUGCGCAGGCGGUUUGGUAAGACAGAUGUGAAAUCCCCGGGCUUAACCUGGGAAUUGCAUUUGUGACUGCCCGGCUAGAGUGUGUCAGAGGGGGGUAGAAUUCCACGGUGUAGCAGUGAAAUGCGUAGAUAUGUGGAGGAAUACCGAUGGCGAAGGCAGCCCCCUGGGAUAACACUGACGCUCAUGCACGAAAGCGUGGGGAGCAAACAGG
rnacentral:rRNA from 1 species